rnacentral:lncRNA from 1 species
CCUGCAGAUUUAUACUUGUUAUUUACAGUUAAUGGCAAGUCGGUUUUUACAAAUAAAAAUUUAAAAAACAUCUUUUUGGUUCUUGUAUGGUAUUGUAGUACAUUAAAAUAUAACCUGUACUUGAACGUAUGUCAUUUGGUUUUCUGUGUGCUCGGCCUAAUCUUCGAAAUCUUUAUCACGUUUUUCGUUCAUGUUGGUCUUUAGGAGACAUAUCAUUUUAAAACAUGUUCAUUUGAUCGUUUGGGGACUUAUCAAGUGGCGUAUUGAACCGGUCGAUUUUAAUUUGAUAAGAAGAUCUCAGAAGAUUUAUAAAUCAACAAAUAUUAACAGGUUUUUACGGUUAAGCCAUCAUAACAAUUAAUUUAUAAAACGAUUGUUUAGAGUUUGGCAUGAUACCCCACCGAACAAUAUAAGUACAAUGACACCUUACGGUUUUAAUUUUGUCGGGACGCCAUAUCAAAUAUCGUGCUCAAUCUUUAAUCCUUCCUACAGGAAGCUGGGAUAAAAUUUCAAAACAAACACAGUUAAUUGUCAGAAAUUAAGAUAACAAAUUAAGGGGCAUAUGUAAAUCUAUGGACAUUUCUCUCAAUAUUUCAAUAAGAAUUAUGCAAACAUAUACAAAUAUUAAACAAUAAAUCUUAGAUAUUUUACAUUUUUUU